GCCUCUGUAGCAUAAUCGGCAGUGCAUUCGGCUUUUAUGAAAAAGUGGAUUUCUACGACGUAGAAAACCGAAAGGUUGCGGGUUCGAGCCCCGCCGGAGGCU